UCGGUUUUCAGCUCUGCCUCCAGAGCAGAGCUCAGCUACGCCAGAGCUGUUAUAAUUUUAUCGAAAGGAAAGGAAUUUUUAACCUCAUCAAAAAAAAUACAAUAGCUCAAACUAUUGGAAAAAUCUCAUCUCAUCAUAAACUUAUUUAUAUGUAUCUCAGUAAAAUAUUUCUCAUAAAAAAAAAACUGAUAUUCAAAAAUAAUAAUAGCUGCAUGCCAUUUCCCGAUUUAAAAAAAAUAAUCUCGUUUUCCAAAAUCUCGAAAAUAAUCCGUGUUAAGAUAACACAAAACAAAACACACUCACAUCAUCGUAAACAAAUAGUCACGUAGAAAAUCACUCAAACCAUCUCAGAUAAAACACGGAUACAAUUCUUAUUAAAGCAAUCAGCAAUCAUCUCUCAGAUCGACUCUCCCUUCUAUAGGGUUUCUCACUCACUUAUCUCAACUCUAUUCUUCUUCAGAUGUUCCUAUUUGCAAUAGGACAAUUAAACUCACAGAUACCUCUGUAUCCGUCAUCGGGAAAAAU
rnacentral:lncRNA from 1 species